AUGGCACUGAUCCUUGGCUUUCUCAAAGGCCGGAAACACCACCUUGGGAUGCAGCGGAGUUCUUAUGACCAAACCACAAUCAGGGGGGCAGCAUGGCAAGUUUCGUCACAGGGCGCUAACGCUGACAAAUGUACGGGCAACCAACUUCAGCUAGCUAAUGUGGCAAAUCAAGGACCUUCAUGCAGCACGUGGCAUCAGGCAGCAACCAUGUACCUGCCAUCAACGUCGUACACAGGACCUUCAACUACAAUUAACAGCGGCGCGGGGACAUCUACUGCGGGGAGCUCUGAGCGCACGGAAGACGCGUUCCAGCAGCCAGCCAACACUCAUCCCACAAACAAUGCCGAGUCAGUGUCGGAAAUGGCAAUCGUGCCAGCAAUACCGACAAGCACACAUGUGCACACCAGACAAGCAACACUCAAGCAGAGAUUUGAUUCAUUUGCAGAUGCAAAGGAAUUCUACCAGACAUAUGCAAAGUUCCAUGGGUUUGCGGUCAACACCGAAUACCAUAGGAAAACUAAAAAAACUAACGAGUACAGCAGAGGUGAGAUGAGGUGCUACAAGGCACGAAGAAACAAGAAGGGCAAAGGUGAUGCGCCUGUCGUUUCGGAACGAAAGAGAGGUGUCAUUGUCAAGACGGAAUGCCCUGUCCGGUGUAAGCUGAACGUAGAUGGAGCACAGUGGGUGGUCACUAAAUAUUUUGACGAGCACAACCACGAGCUAAUAAAGAAGUUUGACCUGAUACUCUCCCACAUCCACAGCAAAAAGGGGUCUUUGAGUAGCAUGCCCUACCUACCAGCAGACAUCAGAAACCUAAAGGCAAAAUUCCAGGAAGAAAUAAAGCGUGCCAACAAGUACACGGCUUUCCAGGUGGACGAACAUACAUUCAAGGUGUGUUCUAUCAUGGGCAUGUCGGAUUCAGAACCUGAAGACCCAGACAAGGGAAGGAACUACUUUGUGAAGGCAUCGAUAAGCGAAGGCGAAUACUACUGCCAAUGCUGCAAAUUCGAACGGGACGGGAUUGUGUGCUGUCACAUUCUAAAAGUAAUGGACUUGAACGCGGUGACACGAAUGCCCCGCCAUUUCAUAAGGCGGCGAUGGACCUGGGACGCUGACGACGCAUUGGCGCCGCAAACAUCAAACGCAGUUUUGGCCGUGCAUGAUGAGAGACCAGAAUCAACCAUGGAAGCCGUGAGGCACGUUGUGUUGACAAAUAACUAUGCUGAACUAAUUGAAGCGUGCAAGAGUGAUGAGACAGCAAGGGUCGCAGAAAAACACAGGAAGGCCCUCAAAAGAGAGCUUGAUGAGAUCAAGAAGAGGAAAGCUGAGGAAGCCUUACACAGGUUCCCCCGCACAUCAAGUGUGCCCUCGUCCACAGAGCCAUCAUCUGAAAACUCGGAGGUAGGAUCUGGAACAGAAAGCACACAAACACAGGUUAGGAACCCGCCCCGUUCCAUCACAAAAGGGCGUCCAAAAGAGAUAAGAUACAAAUCGGGAUUGGAGAUUCAAGCAAAACACAAGAAACCAAAGAAAGGGACGGGCAAUCCGUAA
rnacentral:rRNA from 1 species